UCACCGUGGUCCACCUUGUAGCGCAGCUUCUGGAUGGUGGCCAGGUUUCCGCUGAUGCGGUACAGCCCGUCAAUGUCCAGCCCUGCGGCAGAGGGAGGCGUGACUCCGGGCUCCCGGGAAAAUGCACUGACCAGAGGGGUCAUCAGCUGGAAGAAGCACUGGCCUGGCAGUCUACUGGGUGUUCCAUACUCAUAGCCUUCCUUCAGAAGCCCCAUAAUCUGGGCCUAAGAGGUAAUGAUUUAGAGCACUGAGGAACAAGCCACUGUCAAUAGCCCAAACCAUUUUUUUAAAGCUAA